GCCCCUAUCGUCUAGCCCGGUCAAGGACACUGGCCUUUCAAGCCAGUAACUUGGGUUCAAAUCCCAGUGGGGGCA
rnacentral:tRNA from 1 species